rnacentral:rRNA from 1 species
CAUAGGUUAAUGAGGCGAACCGGGGGAACUGAAACAUCUAAGUACCCCGAGGAAAAGAAAUCAACCGAGAUUCCCCCAGUAGCGGCGAGCGAACGGGGAGCAGCCCAGAGCCUGAAUCAGUGUGUGUGUUAGUGGAAGCGUCUGGAAAGGCGCGCGAUACAGGGUGACAGCCCCGUACACAAAAAUGCACAUGCUGUGAGCUCGAUGAGUAGGGCGGGACACGUGGUAUCCUGUCUGAAUAUGGGGGGACCAUCCUCCAAGGCUAAAUACUCCUGACUGACCGAUAGUGAACCAGUACCGUGAGGGAAAGGCGAAAAGAACCCCGGCGAGGGGAGUGAAAAAGAACCUGAAACCGUGUACGUACAAGCAGUGGGAGCACGCUUAGGCGUGUGACUGCGUACCUUUUGUAUAAUGGGUCAGCGACUUAUAUUCUGUAGCAAGGUUAACCGAAUAGGGGAGCCGAAGGGAAACCGAGUCUUAACUGGGCGUUAAGUUGCAGGGUAUAGACCCGAAACCCGGUGAUCUAGCCAUGGGCAGGUUGAAGGUUGGGUAACACUAACUGGAGGACCGAACCGACUAAUGUUGAAAAAUUAGCGGAUGACUUGUGGCUGGGGGUGAAAGGCCAAUCAAACCGGGAGAUAGCUGGUUCUCCCCGAAAGCU